rnacentral:rRNA from 1 species
CCUACGGGUGGCAGCAGUGGGGAAUAUUGGGCAAUGGACGCAACUCUGACCCAGCAACGCCGCGUGAAUGAAGAAGGUUUUCGGAUUGUAAAGUUCUUUAGUCAGGGAAGAAAAAAAUGACGGUACCUGAAGAAUAAGCCCCGGCUAACUACGUGCCAGCAGCCGCUGUAAUACGUAGGGAGCAAGCGUUGUUCGGAAUGAUUGGGCGUAAAGGGUGCGUAGGCGGGUAUAAAAGUUAGAAGUGAAAUACCCAGGGCUAAACUCGGGUGCUGCAUCUAAAACUGUGAGACUUGAGUGCGGUAGAGGUAAGUGGAAUUCCUAGUGUAGCGGGGGAAUGCGUAGAUAUUAGGAGGAACACCAGAGGCGAAGGCGGAUAACUGGACUGCAACUGACGCUGAGGCACGAAAGUGUGGGGAGCAAACAGGAUUAGAUACCCGAGUAGUC